UUUCUCCCACGCCAGAUCGGCCGCCGCCGCUUUCUCUCCUGCACCAGCUCCGACCCGAUGCCGCCGUCCUCUUCUCUCCUCUCCUCCCCUCCGGCAAGCAUUCUACGCCGCCCCACCGGUUGACCUCGCCGGCGCCAUAACCCGUUCUGCAGCGCCGGCCCUAACCACCGCUUGAACCAGCGGCCGUAGCUCCCCCCACAAGGUGCGCGACGACGAGGCACAGAAGGUGCGCGCCGGUAGCUGCUCGCCCUGCCGCUGCGACCUACCUCGCCGUCGCCGUCCGUCCAUGCCCUCCCCGUCCGGCAUCAUCCAAAGGUCCACUUUUUCCCCUUCCUUUGGUUGGCGCUCGAGUCUCUGUUUGCUGCCAUACGCUAUAUCCAGUGAUAACUCCUCUCAUCUUUACUUACUGAAACGAUGUCACGAUUUUGCACCACACCACCGGCAGGGAGGGCUCCCUUGGCUCGACGGCACCGACGACGGCGGGUGUGGCUGGGAGAGGACGCGUUGCUGCUGCUUGGUGUCGUCCGGGAUGGGCAGGCUCGACGGCGUCGUUAAUCCCACUCUAUUCCUAGGAUUUGGAUCAGAUUAACAAUUAUCAACUAUUGGAUAGCAAGGAAAGAUCUUAGACCUUGUUUUUCAAUUUUAAUUUUUUUGGUCCAAACUAGCUAAUUAACUUUGACAACAAAGAAAAAUGGACGUUGCUACAGAUUAAGUAACUGCUUAUGUAUUUGCCAUAGGAAAUUCCAUUUCUUGUAGAAAUGUGUGAAGAUUGUGGUUUCUGUUUGCUUCGUCUGCACCUUAACUAGAGGAUUAUUUCUCUACCUUACUACUAGUUGAUUAAACAUGUCGGUGAAGUAUGUUAUGUUUCUAACUUUGACAUGGACUGGAUUUCUAGACAUGAAUAGGUAUUCUUUGCUGUACUUGUUUUUAUUCUGUCAUUUGCUUCCGGAGCAAGUUGAAUAUUAGGAUUUAGUUAUUAUUAAGCAUGCUAUGGAGUUUAAUUAACAUUGGUAUAAUCUGGCAAGGGCAGGAAGCUUAGUGCUACAGCUACACAUGCCUCAAAUUUCAGUUGCACUAUUUGUGUUCAACCAAGUUAUCUGGUUACAUCAAAAGCCCUGUGAACCAAGUUCCAGUUGCACCUAUUUACAAUUCUCAAUAUAUGUUGCUCAUGGUUAUUAUUCACAAGUGUCUUCUUUGUUUUGUUGAAAUUGUUCAAGUCACUGCACUUGGAGAUUGAUGCACCAAUGCGGCCUGCUGCUGCUGGUGAGCGCUCUGGCCGUGUUGCUGCUGGCCAUGGCUUUCUGCGCCUCCUGCAUGUUGGUAGGCUUGGUUGGCACCCCCCAGCCUCGACUACCUAGUGCCUCGGUGACACUGCCCUCGGAGCAAGUUGAAUAUCGGCCGUGGCCUUCUGUGCCUCAUGCAUGGUCGUAGGCUCGUCUGUCACCCCCGGCCUCGACUACAUAGUGCCUAGGCGACACCACCCACCGGGAAGUGUAAAACAGCAAAACUACGGUGUUGCCCACUUGUAUUGACGUCGGCCACAUGCCGCUGUCGGCAGCUCGUCCCUGUGUCCAGAGGCUAAGAAUGGAACAUGCCCCGUCACGCGCCCGAGGCCUGUUCCCGCCCAGCAACGUGAAGGAGGCAGCUGCCUGACAGCGUCCACAUCCAGUGGCGUGUCAACCGACAAGAGCAUGAACAAAUUAGGCCCACAGAAGGAGUAGAUGGGUCGGACAAAUCGAUGGAGAAUAUUUUGGAGCAGUGUAACGCAUCCCGAUCCAGCAUCUUGUCCUACAAGGCCGUAGCCGCCGUCAUCAUCCAGGUCAUGUUGCUGUUCCGAUUGCUUAUGUACCAUGAGAAGAGAGAACAUCGAAAUCUGCUAUUUGCUUCUUCUUUUUUUCAAAUGAUAUUGCCCACUUAUGAUCUGUUACUUAUUAGGGCUAUAUUGACUAUUUGCUGAUUCUCCAGUUUUGCUGUACUUGACCAUGUGUUGUUCUUGUUCAAGGGAAAGGCGGAUGACUAAUUGACAUGCAAAGCAGUAGCUGCACUAGUUGGAAGUUGGAGGACCCAGUGACGUGUGAGUCAGACAAUAUGCCUUGUGUUUAGCACAAGCAUGUGUGUUGGAGGCGGAUAAGAUGUGCUCUUUGUGAAGUUGAUUGAUAAUGAACAUGCUAAUGGUUUCCUCUUUGUUAUCUGUUGUGUUGCCUCGCCUGGAUCCGUCUGCUUGGGUCCGUCAUGACCGUGGGCUAUGUAGUAAAUCUGUUUGAGUUGUUGAGAUGAGAAGUUGCAAAUUUUUCUGUUGCGCAUGAAGUUGCAUUUAGUUGGUCUCGCAAUUCUUAGUUGAAUUGUAGUACUAUUAUAUUUACACGUCGCGGGAGCUGUGUGUGAGUAUAAAAGCAAACAGUUAUGUAA